AGAGAAUUAGUUUAAUUAAAAUAUUUGAUUUCGACUCAAAAGCACGUGGUUAGACUCCACGAUCCUCUA
rnacentral:tRNA from 2 species